UCCUGGUAGAAGAACUAAGAUCCCGCAUGCCUCAAGGUGCAGCCAAAAAAACAAAAGAAAAAGGAAACUGGAUGUAUUCUGUCACUCAUUCAUUCCUUCGGACACUUAGUGAGCUUUUAUGUUAUCCACCUAACAGCUGGGAAGACCUCAGUGAACAAGACAUUGGUACUCCUGGUUCUUGAGAUUUGGGACUCAGAUCGGGACUCACACCAUCGGUUCCCUAAUUCUCAGGCCUUUGGACUCAGACUGAAUUACACCACUGGCUUUCCUGGUUCUCCAGCUUGCAGAUGGAAGAUUAUGGGACCUCUCUGCUUCCAUAACCAGAUGCAGAAACUGAGG